GAUGAACGCUAGCUACAGGCUUAACACAUGCAAGUCGAGGGGUAGCAGGGUAGCAAUACCGCUGACGACCGGCGCACGGGUGAGUAACACGUAUCCAACCUUCCCAUAACUCGGGGAUAGCCUUUCGAAAGAAAGAUUAAUACCCGAUAGUACUUAACAAAGGCAUCUUUGAUAAGUUAAAGAUUUAUUGGUUAUGGAUGGGGAUGCGUUCCAUUAGAUAGUUGGUGAGGUAACGGCUCACCAAGUCUUCGAUGGAUAGGGGUUCUGAGAGGAAGGUCCCCCACAUUGGUACUGAGACACGGACCAAACUCCUACGGGAGGCAGCAGUGAGGAAUAUUGGUCAAUGGGCGAGAGCCUGAACCAGCCAAGUAGCGUGAAGGAUGAAGGUCCUAUGGAUUGUAAACUUCUUUUAUAGUAGAAUAAAGUGAUCCACGUGUGGAUUUUUGUAUGUAUACUAUGAAUAAGGAUCGGCUAACUCCGUGCCAGCCGCCGCGGUAA
rnacentral:rRNA from 1 species